UACGAAGGGGGCUAGCGUUGCUCGGAAUUACUGGGCGUAAAGCGUGCGUAGGCGGUUCGUUAAGUUCGUCGUGAAAGCCCCGGGCUCAACCUGGGAAUGGCGAUGGAAACUGGCGGGCUGGAGUAUGGCAGAGGGGGGUGGAAUUCCGCGUGUAGCAGUGAAAUGCGUAGAGAUGCGGAGGAACACCGAUGGCGAAGGCAGCCCCCCUGGGCCAAUACUGACGCUCAGGCACGAAAGCGUGGGGAGCAAACAGG
rnacentral:rRNA from 1 species